rnacentral:rRNA from 1 species
UACAGAGGGUGCGAGCGUUGUCCGGAAUCACUGGGCGUAAAGGGCGCGUAGGUGGCGAGAUAAGCGUGUGGUGAAAGCCCGGGGCUCAACCCCGUGUCUGCCAUGCGGACUGUCUUGCUCGAGCGUAGUAGAGGCAGGUGGAAUUCCGGGUGUAGCGGUGGAAUGCGUAGAGAUCCGGAAGAACACCGGUGGCGAAGGCGACUCUUUGGCCUGUAACUGACGCUGAGGCGCGAAAGCGUGGGGAGCAAACAGG